AUUGAACGCUGGCGGCAUGCUUUACACAUGCAAGUCGAACGGUAACAGGUCUUCGGAUGCUGACGAGUGGCGAACGGGUGAGUAAUGCAUCGGAACGUGCCCAGUCGUGGGGGAUAACGCAGCGAAAGCUGUGCUAAUACCGAAUACGAUCUAUGGAUGAAAGCGGGGGACCGUAAGGCCUCGCGCGAUUGGAGGGGCCGAUGUCAGAUUAGGUAGUUGGUGGGGUAAAGGAUCACCAAGCCAACGAUCUGUAACUGGUCUGAGAGGACGACCAGCCACACUGGGACUGGGACACGGCCCAGACUCCUACGGGAGGCAGCAGUGGGGAAUUUUGGACAAUGGGCGCAAGCCUGAUCCAGCAAUGCCGCGUGCAGGAAGAAGGCCUUCGGGUUGUAAACUGCUUUUGUACGGAACGAAAAGGUCUGGGUUAAUACCCUGGGCUCAUGACGGUACCGUAAGAAUAAGCACCGGCUAACUUCGUGCCAGCAGCCGCAGUAAUAC
rnacentral:rRNA from 1 species